rnacentral:lncRNA from 1 species
UAGAAAAGGUGAUUUUGAUUUAAAAAAAGAAAGAUUGCUGAAAUUACUGACAGUAGAAAAAGAAAAAAAACUUAUGUUGAUUGCAAUAGGGUUUAACCACUUGAGGUAAGGAUUUUAACUCUAAACUAGAUUUAAAUUGAACCUUGAAUAAUUACUAUCAAAUUUGAUGUUUUGGUGAAUCAAAUUAGGAAUUUAAACUUGAAUUAGAGGAUGAAUUGUUGUUGCCAAUUUUACUGAAACUAGUCUGAAAUAUUUUAGCAA